UACGGAGGGUGCAAGCGUUCUCCGGAUUCACUGGGUUUAAAGGGUGCGUAGGUGGGCAGGUAAGUCAGUGGUGAAAUCUCCGGGCUUAACUCGGAAACUGCCAUUGAUACUAUCUGUCUUGAAUACCGUGGAGGUCAGCGGAAUAUGUCAUGUAGCGGUGAAAUGCUUAGAUAUGACAUAGAACACCAAUUGCGAAGGCAGCUGGCUACACGAAUAUUGACACUGAUGCACGAAAGCGUGGGGAUCAAACAGG
rnacentral:rRNA from 1 species